AAAAAUAGAAAAAAGCUAGGAAACUUUGUUUUCAUCCUUACUCAGUCUCUGAGCUUAUAGAUCAAAACAUAUCUUCUGUUCUCAGGUGAGCACUCUGCACAAGGAAAAACCAAGAACUGACAGCUUGAGGAAGUCUCCCCACACCUAAGCAAUAAUUAUGCUUAAUCUUCAGCUUCCAUGCUCCAAGGGGGAAAUGAGAAAGUCCUGCAGAAUCAAUCCCGACUUCCACACCUGCUGCUGGCCUGUACACCAGUCGUCAGUCCCAGUAAAAUGAUGUCC
rnacentral:lncRNA from 1 species